AUCUUGACAGAUCAGUCAUUGAAGAUAAUUUAUACUGACCUGAUGCUUCAGAUUGAAUGAUAAAGUGGGUCAUAAAAUUCAAUGAGUUUGAUAUUCAAUAUCACCCACGACCAUCAAUGAAGGCAUAAAUUUUGAUCGAUUUCAUCAUCGAGUGUACUAUAUCUGACAAUAACUCCGAGGAUGAAUCCAACGAUAAAUUAAAGCAAGUUAAAAUUUUUGAAGUCGAUUUAACAUCGGUGUAGGUGCUAUAUAUUGAUGGAGCAUCCAACGCACA
rnacentral:lncRNA from 1 species